rnacentral:piRNA from 1 species
GNGGAGACUCUGCUUCCCUGGUAGCCAGUGC